UACGUAGGGUGCAAGCGUUAAUCGGAAUUACUGGGCGUAAAGCGUGCGCAGGCGGUUUGUUAAGACAGAUGUGAAAUCCCCGGGCUUAACCUGGGAACUGCGUUUGUAACUGGCAAGCUAGAGUGUGGCAGAGGGGGGUGGAAUUCCACGUGUAGCAGUGAAAUGCGUAGAGAUGUGGAGGAACACCGAUGGCGAAGGCAGCCCCCUGGGCUAACACUGACGCUCAUGCACGAAAGCGUGGGGAGCAAACAGG
rnacentral:rRNA from 1 species